rnacentral:tRNA from 1 species
UAAGUUGAAGCCCGCUGGAUUGGGCGUUUAGUUGUUAACUAAAGGUUUGUGGGAUAGAGGCCCGCCAACUUAGG